UGUUUAGAAAUCAAAUAUACAAUUUUAUUUUGUUGUUGAUUUCAUGAAUCAUGUUACAUAAUGAAUGAUAUGAAAUAUGAGAUUCGUGUUUUUAGAUUUAGGUUUUCGUCAAUCUAUGAGUGAGUUAUUGUAUGUUUGGCUGGAAAUAUUGACGCGCAAGGAAAUAUUACAAUAGUAUAACAAGGAUGAUUUCCCUGUUGAUUAUGCGAAUGAAAAGUUCUUUGUUAUUUAGCAAUUUCUCAUAACUUACUGGAGAGUCAGAGGCUCAUAUCGUAACAGCUUGGGCCUACCGAAAGUUCUUUUUGUCUAAAAGUUAUAAAUUAAUUAUUAUUAAUAAUAAUUAGCGUCUCAACAGAAGAAGUAAUAUUUCAAUGAUAAGCCGAUUUUUUUUACGAAAACAAUUUCAAGGGUUUUAAUUUUUUUAUUACACUUUUGCUAACUUUACAUCUUAUAAUACAAAUGUGGCAAGCUUUAUAUGCUGUUGUUUACUAGGAUGAAACUUUUAGGUGGAAACACCGUCAGAUGCCAGAUUUAUAUGCUUUGCGGGGUGAUGAUGUAUCUAUUGGUAAUGAUGUGAAGAAAGGAGAUUACCAUACCUUAUCAGCCAUAUGCAAUAGGCAGGGUCAAGUUUGAUGCAUUCGAACCAGAAAGAUGGUUUCAUCACAUUGUUGCUUUCAUCCACAAAGCUUCUGUAAGUUUACAGCUUUGCAGGUUAGUAAAAAUACAACCCAUAUUGAUCAUUCCUUUUUCGUUCAGGUUAAUAAGAAUUUAGUUAAAUUUAUUUCAUUUUCAAGGUGAAUUAAAACAAAAGUGCAAAUGCUUAAUCUUCACAUUGAUGGUAAUAUCUGUGGCGUUAAGUGAAAAAACGAUGGCCCUUGCGCACAAUCAUGCUUUUUAGUACCAAUAUUGUUAUGUUUUGGCCGAUUUUUGUUUGUUUUUCGUGGAUGUGAGGUAACAUGUUGCUUUAUGGUGGUUUUUUAGGUAAUCUGUGCGAUUUGCAGUACUGAACAACAAGUUUGUUGUUGAAUUAUCUGAAGUUUAUGGGAAUUAUUAAGUUUGCAUAGCGUUUUUGAAAUGAUUAGGGCAAGGUAAGGUUAAAUAAUUUGCCCGCUAUUUUUAGCCUUUGUCACGUAUGUUACUCUUUUUCAAUGUUUUAAAAACAGGUUUAUACCGGCCGGUUGAACCAGUUAAACCGGAUGCCGGAAUCUUGGCUGGCACGAAUCAUGCCGCUAAAUUGAGGGAACGACAAAGAAGUUGUACCGCCGGUAAAUUCUAUGAAACCGGUAUACCGAUAUCGGGUCAAAGGUUAAAUUUGGAAUUUUAAUCUUUCAUGGGCCAAAAAAAUGUGUCGAAUUACUUUCUUAGUAAAACUUAGCGCCCAAAAAAGGUACAAAUAGUGAAAUUUUUUAUUAUUUUUUUAUUAUGGAUUAACUUUUAGAAUAUUUUUUAUUAUAAAAAUAGGUAGUUUUGGAUUAUUUUUUGAGUAAAAAUUGUAUUUUAUGGAUUUAUUGGGUAAAUUAGUCAAUCCGGUUGACUAAUCCGGUAUAACCCGGUUCAACCGGUUGAACCAUUUCUGAGCCUAACCCGGUACGAUUUAAAAACCAGUUUUUAAAACAUUGCUCCUUUUUUAUCUGAUGGGGAUGAGAAUUAGUUUUUCAUACUUAUUUUGUUUAUACUUUUAGAAAGAUUAGAUGAAGAAUAGUAAUAUUGGGCUGGUGAGUCACGUGGGAACCUUAACCCAAUGUGGGCACUAUGUUGCACAUAUGUACAAAAGAAGGAAGUAGGUGACUUUUAACGAGGAUAAAGUGGGCGGUAUCUGGCCUGCAAGUUUCCAACUGGUUUCUUAAGAUUAUUUAUGAAAGAAAGAUCAAGCUGAUACUUUUGUUAUUUAGCUCAAUAAUUAAAGCAUAGGUGUUUCUAUAUGCAUUAGCUCUAAAUGGAACUUUAAAUAAAUAUAAUAUGCUAUAACGACAGUACUUGGAACAUUGUUUUGUUUUUAAGUUAGUGAAUGGAGGUGUAUCUUAAUUAAGUUAAUUGCCCUCUUUUUUAUUUUUGUUUUUCUAAAUAUUUCUCGCAUUUUUUCUUCUUUUUAUGGUUAAAAAUGAUUUUAGUUUGGGUAUUAUAGACUCAUAUAUUUGUCACUCACUCUGCCAAUUUUUCACAUGUAUUUGAUAUUAAGUUUUUGUCGAAUGAAAUUUUGUGAUGUGGCUGAUCUUUGUUUACGUACCCCGAGUCACCAGAGGACCCUUCUGAUUCAUUGAUGAAUUAUAUUACCAUUCACCAUGGGUUCAUUUAUGUGAGAUCUACAAGACGAAUUUCUUCCGCCAAAAAGUAUAUUAUUUCAAAGUGGUUUCUGUUAGAGCUGACAUGAAAUUGUUGUUUGGGGUCAUAAUUGAUCUAUAGUUAUGCUGAUUGUUUACCUUUUGUAAGUGUGGGAGAAGGAUGUCGCUUCUGAAGUUUGAGCACCCCAUUCAUUGUUCCCUGGAUUUCUUUCUAGAAAGCAUGCAGCUCACCACAGCGAAAAAGCUAAAAGAUGAUAAUUCCCAUUCGCAUUCACAUUCACGUUCUAUUGAAGAUCUCUCGGUUGGAUUAUUCGUUUUGUCCAACCCUUUCAUGGCUUCAGGUUCUAACAACAAACAAGUGCUUCAAUUUCCAUAACAAAGAAAGUGUGCAUUAUCUAUCGGUGUGUUGCAAGGGACUAUGAAAUCCCUCCUCAUACAGAUGUCUUUUAAGCUAUGCUUGUUGCUAGAAGAUGGUCGAGGUUCGGCUAACGCAAUUUUGGACUUAGGUGUUUUGGGGGCCAACCAACCGGUGCCUAAGUUACCCGUUUUGACCCGCUGCCGAACGGUCCCAUUUUACCACCUCCAUUGUUUGACAAAUACCCCACAGGCGUGGGUUUGUUCCCGCAUGUAGAUACCCAUUCAGCAUUUGAGGGCUCAAUUUAUAGCCUUUCAUUAUUAGGAUCUUGCAUUGUGGAGUUUAGAGCAUCUGUUGGUGUUAGAGAUACAAGUAGUCCAAAUUUCGUUAGGAAGGCUAUUUAUCUUCCCCUUCAAUCAAUGAUCUUACUUUCUGGAGCAGGAAGAUAUGCUUGGCAACAUUAUAUACCCCACCAACACCAACAAGAUGUGAUUGAGCAUGAGGAGGAUGUGUGCGAUAAGGAUUGUGGUGGCACGAAAAUAAGAAUAGGGUAUUCAGGCGACAGCUAUAUUACUGUUAACUGGUUCGCCCGGAACUGUGAUAAAUCAAACAAAACUUUAAUUCGGGAUGAAUGAAAUAUACCUCUUUAACUAAGAUGGACAACUGUAAUAGGCAUAGACCUAAAUUUGAUGUUUGUGAUGGGAAAGCUCAAAUGACUUGGAAACUUCAGUAACAGAGGCUGGUAAAAAGGUUGAAGACAUUGAACCAUCGGGUGUUCAAGAACCAACAACCUUAAAUGACUCUGCAAGUCUAGUAAAUCAAGAUCUAUUGGAAAAAGACUUCCAUAUUGAUGAUUGCACGAGUUCAGAUGAUGAAUCAAAGACAAAUGAAAAUCUUGGGGAGUCAAAGAUCAAAAGAUCAUCUAAAGUUGUCGAACCUCAGUUUUGUCAACAUGUUGAGUCAAGCUCAAAGCAAUCCCCGCCCCUAGUUGCAUCACACAGAACUACAAAGUCUCAAAAGCCAUUCAAGGCUUGUUUUAAAUGUGGAAAAGAAGGUCUAGUGCUCAAGCAACGCCCAGAACGACACGAUCCAGACGGUAAAGGCAACCAGUAUUACUUCUCUAGAUCAUAAGGUAAAAAUCACACGUCUUUGAAAGAUCAGAUGAAAAACUUUCCAUCCAGAUCUCCACAUAUGAAGUCGGUUUCACGUGAUUCAAAAAUGAAAAGGACCAACACAUCAAAACCUCAAUCUUUCCCUCCGGGUCUUAAACAUAAAAUUAUUUCGAACUUUAAAUCUUUUACAAACAAAAUUUUUAAAGCAACACAGGUUUGGCGAGUCAAACCAAUGGUUGUAAAAGAAAUCAAUGAGGGAAAAUAUUUGGCAUAUCGGGAGGUUUCUUAUUUUGAUGAAAGGGGACAAUCCAAGACUACGAUGGCUUGGAUUCCACUCUCUAACUGAAUUACUUAUGAGUGUAGGAACAUCCAAGGAGGACUGUUAGUAACACCGGUUAUUAUCAGUGGUUGUUUCAGAUACAAAUUUAAAGAGGAAAAUCACAGGUUUGGUUAUGGUAUCUAACAUGAUCGUGCAAUCAGCACUGCUGUGACACACUCAUUUUCUUGCUGACAAAUGUUUUUGUGUGCCUGGUGUGGAAGACUUUAUUUUAAAUAAAGCAUGUUUUAUAAUAUUUAAUUUUUCAGUAAAUGGUUGUACAUAUAAAAUUUUAGGGGGGAGUAUUCAAAUACUUUGUAGACCAUGAGAUGUAAUUAUUGCAAAAUAAUCAUGAUCUUAUAUGAGAAAUGAUAGGAACUAACUUGAUUAUGUCUUCACAUGAAUAGGAUCUGAUGGAAGAUACGACUCCAAGUUAAUGAUAUGUCGGUAGAUUCAGCAUUUCAGACAAGUAAACUGCAUCUUGGUGAUAAAGAUAAAGAUCGUAUGAUAACGUGGAUACCCACCUUGUUGAAGGAUUGCACAAACCGAUUAUGUCCAAAAGGGGUUGCGAGAUUAGAUUUUGGCGUUCAAAAGACACACAAUUGUCACACCCCUAUAUUUCCACAUAUUACCGGUGGGCCCGGCGGGGAGUAU